UAGAGAGAAGCCUGAAGUAUGUUUAAUUAUGGAUAUUUGGAUUUAUGCUAAAGGAAGAGUUAGUCGGGAUCUACUUAAAAGUGCUGUAAUCUGCUCUAUUCAUUUUAAAGGGUACAGUUUUUUUAAUACUUCCAUAUCAUUGUGAAAACAGGAAAGAAGCAGAGUUAGAUGAAGAAACAGAAUGUAAUCAGUUCCUGGAUCGAUCCC